UACGUAGGGACCGAGCGUUGUCCGGAAUCAUUGGGCGUAAAGAGCGUGUAGGCGGCCACUUAAGUCCUGCGUGAAAUCUUGCGGCUCAACCGCAAGCGGUCGUGGGAAACUGGGUGGCUAGAGUGCGGGAGAGGAGAGUGGAAUUCCGAGUGUAGAGGUGAAAUUCGUAGAUAUUCGGAGGAACACCAGUGGCGAAGGCGGCUUCUGGUCUGUAACUGACGCUGAGGCGGCGAAAGCGUGGGGAGCAAACAGGG
rnacentral:rRNA from 1 species